GACGAACGCUGGCGGCGUGCUUAACACAUGCAAGUCGAACGGAAAGGCCUGCUUUCCCUUGUGGAUUGCGGGUACUCGAGUGGCGAACGGGUGAGUAACACGUGAGUGAUCUGCCCCCAACUUGGGUAUAAGCCUGGGAAACUGGGUCUAAUUCCCGAUAGGACUGCAGGGUGGUGCCUGUGGUGGAAAACGAUUUUCUAGUGGUUGGGGAUGAGCUCGCGGCCUAUCAGCUUGUUGGUGGGGUAAUGGCCUACCAAGGCGGCGACGGGUAGCCGGCCUGAGAGGGUGGACGGCCACAUUGAGACUGAGAAACGGCCCAGAGUCCUACGGGAGGCAGCAGUGGGGAAUAGUGCACAAUGGGCGGAAGCCUGAAGCAGCGACGACGGGUGGGGGAUGACGGCCUUCGGGUUGUAAACUCCUUUCGACCGCGAGGAAGCCACCUGGUUGGAAGGGUGGUGACGGUAGUGGUAGAAGAAGCACCGGCUAACUACGUG
rnacentral:rRNA from 1 species